GUUUAUUAUUUUACUUCUUAUCCAAUCCCAGAGGUUUCCCUGCUUUGCUUUCUCCCGCCUCCCUAGUCUAUCACCAAUGGACUUCAUGUAACCCACCUGCAUCCCUUCCUUUUAUGGCAAUGUAUAAAUACAGAUG